CCACUGCUCCGCGGGACACACCAUGCAGGCGUAGCUCUCUUCUUCUCCGUGCUUCUCGGUGUGGUAGUUGACUAACGGAUUCCGUGUAGCUCGGCUCGCGGGGGAAGUGGAGGGGGGUGGUCGACCCGGUAUAAAGCAGUGCCCUGCUCGGCUGCCUUGACCUCCAUAACCUAGAUCCAGCGCAGCCGUAGUCGAACACCGCCGCCCAAUCGUCCCACCGCCGCCGCAGUCGAACCACACCGACAGUGCCUCAUUAACAGUAAGAACCCACGCUGGUGGUUCGCCGACAUGUCUGGAACCCGUUCGUGGCAAUCGUCGUGAGUGUGGAGUUCGUGCUGACGACGAAUCGCUCGACGUGAUUCCUCCUCCACCGCAGUGCCGCCAUCCUGUGGACCGAGCCUGCGCUGCCAUACUCCGGUAUGCGUUCGUUUUAGUUGAGUCCAUUGUCGUGCUCGGGGCGUGUAGAAGCUAUCGAUUUGGGUUAAUUCGUGCGCUGGCGCCGAUCUGGUGAACUCCGGCGAGGAAUCCACUGCGACCGUGGCGGCGCUGCCAGUGCCGGUUGGGGGAAGGGGACGAUGGUCUCGCGCCGUUCGAUUGGAAUCACGUGGAGGGGAUUAAAUUUGGGUGUAAUCUGUUCAGAACCCUCGAUCGGUGGAUGUGUGGCUAGGAUUUGAUGCUAGGAACAUUUCGCAGUAUGGAACCAUAGUCCACGACCACUAUGUUCUGAGUCUAGGAAAUCUUGCGCAGAGGCCUCUGUUGUUCUCUUAUUUUGUGCGCACAGUCCAAGGGAUAGAAAAUCCAGGAAAAGUAAAUAGAAAAUGAUUGUUAAUGUAAAAAUAAUUGUUAGAACUUGUUUAAUUCCUAGAAAAUUCAUAUUAAGUCCAAAUUAGCCCAUCCUAGUUCAUAUAAUUUUGUAUUAAUAUUGUCUAUAAAUUAGUAACACUGUUUUAACAUGAAAAGUGUAUUAAAAUUGAUCUCUUAAUUAAUCUUGUACCAAACACAUAAAACCUUUGGAAAUUCAUAACUUAAAAUCCAUAACUCUGAAUUUAAUGAUUCUUUUUCCUAUGAUCUUAUUUUAAUAUGUAGAUUAUUAAUAUGUAUUUUAUAUAUAUGUUUGGUGUGAUGUUAAUUUUUUAUUUGCACUAUGUUUGUUUGUAUUGUGGCGAGUAGAAGAGCAGUGGCAGAGGAGUCAAUUGUUCAGCAGGUAGAAGUUGUUGAGCAGGAGCUCAUUGAAGACAAGUUGUGCCUUGACCACUUUUUACCCAAUAAUGUUCUUUAUUAUCACUUAUCAAUGCAUAGGCUUAAUUUUGAUGGGACCCAAUAUGUCACCUUAGACUGGUUAUCCUUUUACCUUGUUUACCCCUGAAUCAUUUGGGUAGUUUUGGUAUUACUCUAUAUGGUUUUGGGUUUAAUACUACAAUAUGUUCAUGUUCCAAUUAUUCUGUUAUUUUAUUUAUUAUCCAUGUCAAUAUCAUUAUUUUUAAUUGGAACAUGGAGCUUAACUUGAGAAACACGUGCCACCACGAGGGUGGAAUGGGACGCCAUUGGCUGGCUAACUAGGAAAGCUAGUGGAGGACUACCUUACCCGAUAAGGGCAAGGGCAAUAGAGGAGUAGGCGUGUAGGGAGGUUGCCGAGUUGAUUUUGCUGUGAUGGCGGUCAGACGGGGAUUCCUGCAUUCCUCUUCCUAGAAACUGUAGCGGGUUUUCUGAAGCAAUUGGAACUAGGUAAAGGCCUCCUAGUGUUACCCUGCCUCGCUUCCUUGGUAGAGGUGUAUGAGAGUCGCGAUCCCUUGGCAGAUGGGUAACAUGACUUGUGGAUACAGGGUACAACCUCUCAGAGUGUAAAACUGAUAUACUAGCCGUGCUCGCUGUCAUGAGCAGCUUAGGACUCUCGCAUGAUUAAUAUAUGGAACUAAAUUCAAUUUGUCAUUUGCAUUGCAUGGGAUUAUUUAUUAAUUUUGUUCUAUUCUUAUUAUGGUUUGGUAUUUACUUACAUCUAUUAAUUGCUAAUAAAAUUCGACCAACUUAUUAAAGGCAAUGUUCAGCUUUAACCCUUAUUGUUGAUCACCCUUACACAUCACAUGAACUCUCACCUUUGGUGAGUUCAUGCACAUUAUUCCCCACGACUUGUUGAGAUAUGAUCUUUUGUGAGCUCACUCUUGCGAUAUAUAAACCCCCCCACAGGUGAAGAGCAGGUGGUCGAAGAGGAGCCGCACAACGAGGAGUUUGACUUGAUCUAGGUGGCGUCUCCCAGUCAGCUUUAUAGCGCCAGGGAAAUAAUAUUUAGUUCGUUUUAUAUUUAUCAUUUAUUUUGUAAGACUUUCGCUAUGUAAUAAGUACAUUUAUGAUAUUUAUGAUAUUUAUCUCUAUGCAUGUUAUUAUAUGUGUUGUUCUUCCUUGGCGCACAUAUGAGACGUACCCGACUUUAUCCUUUAAAUAUGGGUGUGACACAGUCUAGCGCUGACAGGCGGACCUGCGCGUCAGCUGCACCCUCCCGCGUCGUGUCUUCCUUCCCAAUCGCUAACUGGUGGGUCCCGCUUGCCAAACGCGUUCACCGUCACCAUUGCAUGGGACCCAGGCAUCACACGCUUUCUUCGCCAAGAUCGUUGCAAUGGCGCCCAGCUCGGAUGUAGCAGCCCUCGAGCGCUGCUCGUGGAUCUGGGGGGGAUCUGGCGCAGCAGACUGCUUCCUCCUCGCGUCUCGGUACUAUAAGACCGUCUUCACCAGCCACCGAACCAUCCCCUUCUUUGCCUUUGAGAACUACCGCGAGGGAGAAUAGGUCGAAAUCUAUCGCCGUCGUUGAGUGAAGCACCGUGCCGGGCGCCGCCGCCGUUGGGCUCCAUCGAGGGGGUCAGUGGGAUUUGGCAACGCUUAGAUGAACCGGCCGUAGCACUUGCGGGCGAAGUGCUGAUCGGAGCACGUGGCGAUUUCACGCCGGAGUCAGAGCUCCGCCACGAAUUCUGCAGCGCCCUGCGAGCAGGCCACUUCGUAUCUGUCGCUGGUAAAAAACCCCUUUCUAGUUGUUUGUCGCGUUCUCCCCUACGUAUGGCUCAUUUAA
rnacentral:lncRNA from 1 species